rnacentral:rRNA from 1 species
GACGAACGCUGGCGGCGUGCCUAACACAUGCAAGUCGAACGGAACUGUUUUGAAAGAUUUCUUCGGAAUGAAUUUGAUUUAGUUUAGUGGCGGACGGGUGAGUAACGCGUGAGUAACCUGCCUUCAAGAGGGGAAUAACAUUCUGAAAAGAAUGCUAAUACCGCAUGACAUAUCGGAACCACAUGGUUUUGAUAUCAAAGAUUUUAUCGCUUGAAGAUGGACUCGCGUCCGAUUAGUUAGUUGGUGAGGUAACGGCUCACCAAGACCGCGAUCGGUAGCCGGACUGAGAGGUUGAACGGCCACAUUGGGACUGAGACACGGCCCAGACUCCUACGGGAGGCAGCAGUGGGGGAUAUUGCGCAAUGGGGGCAACCCUGACGCAGCAACGCCGCGUGAAGGAGGAAGGUUUUCGGAUUGUAAACUUCUUUUAUUAAGGACGAAAAAUGACGGUACUUAAUAAAUAAGCUCCGGCUAACUACGUG